CCACUUCCCGCUUCAACACAGGAUCACUUAUAGCCAACCAGCUCCUGACAGUAACUUGUUCUAACUUUCAUUCUUAAAAACCUCUAGUGAUACAGAACCACCAUCUCCUUACACAUACUGCUGUCUUUACAGCUCAGAACUCCGAACAUCUAUCCUAGAUUUUCCUUAUGGAAAUUUAAGUUGCUCUCCAUAACCACCUGACAGGACUAGCAGUAACUGUUGUAUUUCCUUGGCAGAACUUUCUUCUAAAUCCAAAUAUUAUUCUUUCUUUCCUCUAAUCUCUAUUCUUUCCAGCUAACCUGUAUCACUUUGCAGCAUAGCACUUAGAACUGGAUAAGGUACUCCAGCUGGCCUUCACUAGCGCUAUACUGAAUGGGAUGACUUUAUAUACCAUGUCUCCAAUGCUUUAAUAUAUCCCCCUACUGUGACUGCUGUUCUAUUUAUUUCCGUUCUCUGGCCUUGUACUGUACAUCCUUGGAAGGCAUACAAUGCCUUCCUGCUACACCUUUUCUGAAGAAGUACUCCUUACCCAGUGCUUUUGCCCAUGGAUUGUGAAAGCUCACUAUGCCUAGGCGAAGGGCUGUUCCUUGCAGUUCUUAUUACUAAAUCACAUGCGGUAGCACGUAAUUUAAGGUCACUUUGAAUUCGAAGUGAUAUGGGCAAAUACGCUAGUUCUGUCCUCCAGUGUGCCUAUAAUCUUUUUGUUAACUUGCAAUGUAAUAUUUAUAUGCUCUAGUCCUGUACCCAGGUCAAUAAUGAACGCAUAGAUUAUCCCAGGUUGGAAGGGACCCAUAAGGAUCAUUGAGUCCAACUCCCGGCUCCACACAGGUCUCACAAAUUUCAUUUGGCCAAACACGAAGUUGAGCUCACAAUUCAUUAAAGCACUGUAUAUUAUAUAUUCAACUUUAACCAUUGUCUAGACAAUGAAGAUCAUAGAAUCAUUAAGGUCGGAAAAAACCAUUAAGAUCACCUAGUCCAAACUUCAAUCCAUUGCCACCAUGCCCGCUCUACCAUGUCCCUCAGUGGCACAUUACACAUUUUUUGGACAUUUCCAUCAAUAACUAAUUAAUAAUAAUAAUAAUAGUAAUCACAAAUUACUGCAGGAUGGUUUUCUACAGACCCUCUAAAAACUGUCCCAACCUGAAAGUGAGUUACUGCUAACUACAGAUCUCAGUGGCAUUUCAUCAAGGCAAUCUCUCCCCAUUUGUUUCUGAAAGUGAUGCUUACAUCAGUCAAGUAAAUCUGUAUCUGAGUUCCUAAAAGAUCCAGUUUUACAGUAAGCGCUAUAAAAUUAACAAGUGUUCCAACCACUGCUCUGAACUUUAUAAUAGUACAGGGCAAUCUCUGCAGGAGUACACCAUACAAAAUUAAUCCAAAUUAACACAAGCAGGUUAGGACAUGUUUAUCACUUGUGGUUACUGGCUCAAAGCUGCACCAAUUGAAAGCCACAGCAUAGUCCUUGGCUAGUUUAAUGGAAUGGAUGCUCCUGUCCUAAGUGCCAGCUGAAUAACCUUGCUCUUGCCUACCUAGCCCUUAACUCAGAAGCAAGCUCAAGGUGUUUUUCAAGAUGCCUGUGCUAUUUGUUUCAGAAUGUUCCACAUACAUGCAAAUCCUAGUUACAUGAGGUGCAGGAAACCUCCCCACAUCAAUUUUACAUGAAACAGUCGACCCAUUUUAAAUAACAGGUUUAAUAUAAUUUAGCUGAUUAUCUUCUAUUUUCACUUUGUUAAUUUGAGUUAAAAUUAGGUAUCCCAAGGCUACAAAAGUAAAGAUCAAAUCAAAGAAGUGUAACUGACACACACAGACAAACUGAUCUGAUAGGGAAGUGAUCAGUGUGCUCGGACUGGCAUAUACUCUGCUCAUUACAAACUAAAUGACAGGUUGGCAGCGGUGAGCAACGCACAGUGUGAAAACAUAUAUAUGUUUAUGGUGUAUUUUAAUUAGUUUUAUGACAGAGUCUGAAAGGGGCUUUUUUCAGCUAUACAAAUGGAUAUUUGAAAACCACAUUUGUCUUUCAGUCUAAGGACACAUUGUGGUUUUUACAAUUUUUACGCUGCAGUGGAAAUGCUAAGUCAUGGCUUGAAGCAGUGAUUGAGCACCUGCUGGGAGGGCAGGGCCAACCCAGGGGAGCUCAGGUGCACUGAGUGACCGAAAGGGGUGAAGCCAGGAUCCACCCCUUCCCAGACCUCAUUUAAGGGUUGGCAGUGGAGGUAAGGAUAUCUUGCUGGAGGUCCCUAUGCACUUGAGGCCUUCUGAAGAGCUUGCACCUGUGAAGAGGGAGAGCCAUCAACCUCACAGGCAGACACAUCAGACAGCCAGAGGCAAUCCACAGCAUUGCUCUCAAGAAAUGUUUCUCAGGCUGGGAACCUCCUUGAAAACAUUCUUUACCAAGGGACUGCAGCUCUGACUGACAGGCACAUGAAUGUGGAGGCAACACUUCUUAUCUAACUGUUAAGCAACACACUAAGAGAAAGCGUAUAAAAAUCGCAUUCAGUUCUUUACUUUUGCUUCAGAACCAAGCAGUGACUCUAAACUGUCACUCAAAAGACAGUUCAACCUACAUGCAAACAUCACGUCGCAAGCUUCAGUGUAUUUUGAAGU